AUUGAACGCUGGCGGCAGGCCUAACACAUGCAAGUCGAACGGUAACAGGAAGAAGCUUGCUUCUUUGCUGACGAGUAGCGGACGGGUGAGUAAUGUCUGGGAAACUGCCUGAUGGAGGGGGAUAACUACUGGAAACGGUAGCUAAUACCGCAUAACGUCGCAAGACCAAAGAGGGGGACCUUCGGGCCUCUUGCCAUCGGAUGUGCCCAGAUGGGAUUAGCUAGUAGGUGGGGUAACGGCUCACCUAGGCGACGAUCCCUAGCUGGUCUGAGAGGAUGACCAGCCACACUGGAACUGAGACACGGUCCAGACUCCUACGGGAGGCAGCAGUGGGGAAUAUUGCACAAUGGGCGCAAGCCUGAUGCAGCCAUGCCGCGUGUAUGAAGAAGGCCUUCGGGUUGUAAAGUACUUUCAGCGGGGAGGAAGGGAGUAAAGUUAAUACCUUUGCUCAUUGACGUUACCCGCAGAAGAAGCACCGGCUAACUCCGUGCCA
rnacentral:rRNA from 1 species